CUUCCAAUAGCCAUUUUGGAUGGAGAAGAAAAAAGCAGUUCUAGAACAGCAACUUCUGCCUGAAACAUAAUUUAAGGUAUUAGCCAUUUUGUCUCAUCUAAGAUGUCCAUAAUUUUCAGUACAAUCCAGGAUUUUAGUACCUGAGAUGCUUAUUUCAACUUCCUCCUUUGAAGAUUAUGACCAAGAAAUCAGAUAUGGCAUGGCUGUUUUUCAAAGAGAAAUGCUGUGAGUGCUUACUCUGUGUGUGAUGUGUGGCGGCUUUCAUUAAAAGAGUGCAUCUGAGCAGCAGAGCAACAGGGCUGCACUUGCCCUUUUUGGCUUCUCUUUGUGAAGUCAGAUAAACCCAUGGGGAGGAAACUGUGACUGCUCUGAGACCUGAGGGUUCAGCGGGGGAAUGGAGAGCUUGGGGAGGCCACAACACAUUACAGCAGUUACAGAGCCCUGUCCGUGGCAAAGAGCAAGCCGCAGCCAAGCCUCAGAGGUGCUGAAAGAACAAACAGAUGUCCUCAAGAGCUAGCAAAGACUCUGUACACUUUAUUACAAAGCCAUCAGGCUGCUGGAAGCUGUUAGACUGAGAGCAGAAACAAAAACGUAUGGACACCGCAGGGUUACUAUGGGUGGAAAGAAAGAUGGUGUUUGGGAUGCUUGGUUUUGGCUACUCAUCAUGCUUUUAAAGUUUGUCCUUACAUAGUUUUUAAAACUUUCAAUAGUUUAAAAUAAUAUUUUAAUAGGCAAUUUUUAGUGCUUCUGGAAACAUGCUGAGUCCAUAUUUGUGUAAUUAAAUUUAAGCAUUGAAUUUGCAAUAACUUCUUAUAACACUCUUUGGCUCUUUGAUGGGCUUUAUUUUAACUAGUAAAACUUGCAAGUCAGAGAGCAACAAGACACUCUUUUGGAGGCUGAUGUGCUUCAAAAAGCUAGAAAGAAGAUGGUAAAGAGAAUCAGAAAAGCUAAGCUCUAAUGUGUCUAUCCCUACCCCAAAACCAGGUCCCACCUGUGCUGUCCAGGUCAUUUGAUUCUCUCUCUUGCUUGACCCAGGCCCUUACUCCUCAGAUCCUCCAGGUUUCCAUUCUGCAAACUCUCCCAAUCCAGAAGCUGUACCACUUGAAUCAGUUGCCCUCCAAACCUUCUUGCAAACCCUGUUCCAGUUUAAGUCUGUACUGGCUUCUAGUCUGGCUGCAGCUCUCGUGUUCCACCACUGCUGCCCACCAAGAUACCUUCUGUCCUCUGCUAACGUCCACCAUUGCCAGGUUCUUCAGAGACCCAAGCCUCUACCAGCUCAAAGCUGAGCUGCUCUGACAGCCUGUGCCCAGAAGAGACUCUGGAAACUAAAGAUUGGUGACCAUCUGCAAAUAUGCUUGUGCUUUUCAACAUCCAGAAACGUGUGCAUUUGCCACCUGCAUUUGCAAAGCCUAAGUCCUUCAGCUGUGUUAAUAAUGAGGAAUUUGUGCGAGAGUCCUCCUUAAUUAAAGUAAUUAGAUUAUGUAAGCAUUAAAAAAAAAAAAAAAGUUCUCUGAUAAAACUUAUGUUCUGUUGAAUGUUCUUUCCUAAAUCUGACAAUUUUGGGGAAUUGUUGGGCUUCAAUAGCUGCUUUACAAAGCACAACUUGAGUCCAAGCUGACCUUAAUACAAGUAAAAUAGUUUUCUGAAAUAGAGUAAGUUUUGUUUUGUUUUGUUUUGUUUUGGGGGGGGGGGGGAGGAUUUUUGUGGAAAUGACAAAAAAUGUGGGGCCUGUAAGUAAGAAAAUGUGAGCUCAGAUCAUCUUACCUUUAGCAAAUGCAAUCCGAAUAAUUAUUACUGGGAGAUCGUAUGUAAGAUUCAUUCUAAUCAAAUCUUGUGCUAACCUAUCAUACUUCAUUGAUUGUGUAGCAUCUUUUUGUGAUUCAUAACACAAACAGACAUUUUAUUUUGGCAGUCAGACUAGUCUUAAAUGUUUCCAGCAUUCCUGCUGGCCAAAAUAGUAUAUAUAUAUAUAUAUAUAUAUGUAAAUAUAUAUAUAUAUAUAUCCUAUAUCCUGCAACUAACUGGCAUAAUUAAGAAUGAAAUCUUGAAAGUACACUUCUCUAAAAGCAAUUAGUAGUAGAAGAUACUCUUUCUUACACAUUGGACAAAUACUGUAACUUCUACUUGAUGAUAAAACUCAUCUUUCCCGGAAACCUCAACUUUUCUGUGGAUCCCAAAAGCUGUGUGUAAGGAUGUGCCUGUCCCAGGCUGAUAUCUGCCUUGGCUUCUGACCAGCCUGAUUUAGCCAUGUCUCCUGCUGGUGGGUGCAUGAACCAUCAGCAGGUCCAGCUGGAUAUCUUGGGAUAGCCAGUAGGAGAACUGACUGAACUGGGGCAAACUGGGAGUAGAUAAGCAGCAGUUGUCACCUAUAUGUAACAGAUGACAGUGUAGUCUUUAUUUCGCAUUCAGUGUAAUGUGUAUACAUACUGGCAAACAUUUAAUCUACUCUUUGCAAGUUACUUUAUUUCAAAGAAUAAAAUCUUCAAUAAACUCAAGAAUAAGAAUACUGACACACUUUGUUUAAUCUCUAACUGUGUUCUUUUUUGGAAGUCCAAACUUUCCUAGACAAGGAUUGUUUCUCAGCCUGUACACUUCUUGGGAAAAAAAAUCUUCCCACUUGAAAUAUUAGUUCUGCUUUAUAUUCUCUACAUCAUUAGAGAUCGGGUUUCUUUAGAUACAGCAGCAUUAGAAAUUAUUUCUGGAGCAAAUGUCUAAAAUCUGGAGGAGUGCUGGAAGCUUAGGUCUAUUCUUAUCCUCAGCAAUUUUAAUGCAUUAAUUUUAGGCAUCUCCCAGAUCAGCAUGUAGUAUUUUGGGAUUGUUUGUCUGAGGCAGUGAAAUGAUAUGAAAAGAUUCUUAUGUUUUAUUUGGAGACUAAUGCAGGGAAUAGGAAGUUAUUUGGGGUCAACUAGCAGCACAAUGGUAUGGGAUGCUGCGCGUCCACCAGGACAGGUGGGCAAAAGCAAGCAUGCAAAGCAAACAUGGAUGGGCACCUCCUGUGCCAUGCCAGUGCUGCCAGCCCAGACCAAUCCCACUGCUGCCUGUCUGCAAACUGCCUGAUUCUAAUUCAUUUCCCAUGCUGCGGGAAGGAGUCUGUGACCAGUGACAAGACGGUGUCCUCUUCUGCCAAAGCCCAAGUCCUCAGGAAAAAUAUUUGUUAACUACUUAGACUGUUUUGUAAAUGCAUGUGAUGAAAGCAAAUGCUUCCUUCAACGACUUUUACAAACAUCACAAAACCUGUUUACUGGGCCAAUGCUAUUUAGCUAAUUCUGUUACCACUGGUGUCAAACCUCUCUUUCUUUUGUUUUCUAGCAUAACUCCAUAUCACCUUACUCAUUUGACAUAUUAACUGAACUCAUUAAUCGAGAAGAGAUCUGAGCCAGCUGGAUUUCACUCAAACUGGAUUACUUCAUAGGGACAUGCAAUCCAUCAGACAGGAUAAAGUAAACACUCUGUUGGGUCAUAGUCUUCCUGCAGCCCAGUCCAUUUAAAAUCCUGUGUGAGAUCACCGCAGUCACUAAGAAGAUUACACACUUACCAUUUCAACAUGGGGGAAUGUGUUGGGAGCAAAAGGUUUGCAUCUAGGAACAGAAGGUUGGCUGUUCUCACCCUGGGCAGCCCUGCUCCUGCUGGUGCUGUCAGACUGUGCCUGCCUGAGGCGUUUAGAGUGUCCCCCAUCUGAUGGCAACGGGAUAUUGCUGUUUCAGUUUUAUGGAUGUAUGUUUUAUUAUAUUGAAGUAUUUUAAAAGAUUGACCUGUUUCCUAUUCUUCCAUCAACACAAGGCAAAUCUCAAAGAUGCAUAUGACCAAAUACCCACUAAUCAAAUGCCAGUGGCAGAUGGAAAGCAAACAGAGAAAUAGUUGCUGUCAACGUUUUAUUAGCAAAGAGUGUUGUACUCAUGGAAGUUAGUGCUGCCAAACCAGGUGCUCAGGUAUCCCUGUUUGCCCCUGUGAGCUCUCUGAGGUCAGUGGAGGCCCCUGCAAAUCUCUAUCUAUCUGUGCCACUGGCUACAGCUCUGAUGGGAAAGCCCUCCUGCUGCACCAACAUUCAUGUGCAUCGUUAGCCUAAUUUGCUAAAUCGUCCAUAAAUAAUGCCUACCAGCUGCACAUUGCUCAACACCACACCUCAGUAUCUAUGGUGCUGCUGCAGGCUGCAAUGUGGACAGGGUCUCUGCUCCGUGCAGGGCUCUCACAGCCGUGGUGGGAGUUGUUCCUUUGUGCCUGGCUGAGGACCAGACUGGCUGCAGCCCAGCUGAGAGCAUUCAAUGGCACCGUCUCUCUUUUUCCUGCCUCCGGGGCUGCCAAGGCAGCAGCUUCUUCGUAUGGCAGGAACAUGAAUUAUGUGAGUAUUUAUAUUUCAGCCAACCAGAAUGUUCAAAAUACCACGCUGGUAUUCACUAAGUAAAGACCCUUCUUAAGCACAUGCUAAAAUCACUGUAAGGAUCCACUUUUUUCUUUUCUUUUCUUUUUUUUUUUUUUUUUUUUUCCCCUCCCCCCUGCCCCAGUUGUAGUGAGCAACAGUUUGGGGAAAUCCGGAGCAAUGAGACAUAAAAGAUCUGCUUAGAGCUCACUGGAGGGACUUUGUGGAAUAGGGUUGCUCUGAAAUGUGCAAUUGCAACAAAGUCCUUUAUAAAGGAAACAAAGUACACUGGAAUUGUUUAAAAAUGGAAAAAACGUAGUUGUUUUCAUUGUCUUUUUGGAACAGCUUUUUAAAAAGUAUAAUAUAUUGAAACCUAGUAGCUUGGAAAAUGCUUUGGCAUUUCACUAGGAAGAAACCUGAAUUUUUGGGCUUUUAUCCAGCUUAAGAUGAAGUUAAACUUCAAAAUGUGAAAAACUUUUCUAGCUAGAAUUUCCGUUCUUCAUAUGACUGUCGUAUUUUCCGUGUCCUACUUACACUGGAAGAACAGUACAUGAAAGCAGUUGCAAGCUAAGAUUUUAGCAGGCAGAUUCCAGGAGAGUUUGUUCUUCCAUACAUUAAAAUUGCCUAAUUCUGUUCUCUAAUUACUUUUUCCAGCUGCUGAGAGAUUUUGUACUGAUUUCCUAUUGGCAAGGAAAUUCCGCUUGAAUGUGGAAAGAAGGAAAAUCAGAAUGGGAAGCCAGUGUCAGUUUAAAGAAAAAAAUGUUUUGUCAGUAUUACAUAUGUGGCAAGAAAGGAGCAUAAUUCUUUUUAAGCAGCAAGUCUAUCACAGAUGCCAUGUCAAACUCUGUUCUUCCACAGUUAUGAGAGUUUCCACAUGGUAUUUCAAAGGACAAAACAAAUUUGACAGAUCUUUUUUUUUUUUUUUUUUUUCUGUAUGAAAUCCAUUGGUUUUGUCCAUUAUAUGGUCCUAGCCUUGUGUUACAGUCUUGAUGAUAUGCAAAGAUAUUCCAUACAGCACUACUUUUCUCCCAUUCAGAAAUAUUCCUUGUAAAGAGUCUGUAUGCAAAUCCUUCUUAAAUGAAGUUAUUGGAAACAAAAAUUCCUCUGGCUCUCUUAUAAAAUUGCACUGUGUGAUAAGAUACGCUUCAAAACACACCUGUAUUCACCUCACCUGUAAGCUUACUGAUUGUUUUAAUUGCUUAUUAUCGCUGUUAUUUUUUAUUGCUUAUUAUCAACCAUUGCAAUCAAAACCAAAUGCAAAAGGAAGAUGUGCAACGUCCUCACUCCUUGCACUAAUCAACCCAGACUACGUGCCUUGGAGAGAUCCCAACUCCAUGGGUGCCUCUGGCAGCAACUGUAGCUUAUAGUAGCCCCAAAAAUCAGCUAAAUCUUUAACGUUCAUCUCUGUGUGCCAGAGUAAGGUUACCACAGUGCUGCACAGCCAAGUUUAUGUGAUGGGGUACUCUGUCUGAUUGAGUUUAUGCAUGGUUACAUCCUGAACGUGCUUGUAGGCCUUCUGCUUGCUAGAGGUGGCUCCACUGAAAUGAACUUCUCCCACAUCUUUUGAAAUUACUCUCUGUAGACUCCCUUUCAAUAGGACACAUUCACCUUGUUUUUCAAUAUGUUCAGAAAAAACAUAUUCCUCAGUAGACUGUCUUCUUGUUUGUGCUGGUUUUGCUUCUCCUCUGACUUUUUCUCUAUUGUCAACCCAAUAUAUAUAUUCUGAAUGACUUGGAAGCUCUCCCCUCCCUGGAUGCCUCAAACAUUUGACAAAUCAUGCACAUAAUCAACAACAUAUCAUCCAAUUGCCAAAAGCUGACUGUUCUACAGCAUGACCAAAUCACAAAUCCCCUGUGUCCGUCUCCUAUCUAGAGCAUGGAUUUAAAAGACAGCUGUAUCAUGACUCCUAGUCAGUUGUCUGAAGUCUCACACACAUCAUAAGAGCAAUUACAUGAAUUAUCCUUUGUUUAACAUUAACUGAUAACCCUUAUUGAUCAUAGGCCACUCAUUCUUUGAAUAAUCUGUAUGUAAAAUUAUAUUUAAACAUGUAUCCAUAUUUAAUAUUUUUUUUUCAGGGAACUGUCAUAGAAACCCAUCCAAUAGGAAUAUCUUAAUAGGCUCCUUUUAAAGUAUCUUUCCUCAAAACUCAACUCAUUCCCUUCAUUGACAAAACCGCAAUGGAAUGUUCUUUAAAGAAUUGUGAAUUAGCUGAAUGUUGGGCUUUUGCUUGGUCCUUGACGAGCUUGGCAUCCUGUGUUAGCAGUGGUGUUACCAGCUGACUCUUCCCACCAUGGGGAAGCCUCAGUGCACACUGGUGGGGGUUUGGUCUCUGUGCCCCCCCUCUCGUUAGGCAGGAUCCAGAAAUAGGGUGUAGUAAAGCCUCACCAUUUUUACAGAUGGUACGUACUGCAGCCUCACAUUGUAUGGGCAAAACAAAUGCAGCAAGAUUUAGACUACAAACCCCAGCUCAGCUGUCCAGAGCUGCCUGUGGAUCCCUGAUCCAACAGCAUCCCUGCUUCCAGGCAGCAAGCAGCUCUGCAGCCUGCCAACAAGCUCCUCCACAGCUUUGCAUCUGGACCCAUGUGCUCCAGAUGUGGCCCUCACCUCCAUAGAGUGGUCCUGCCACUUUUGCACCUGCUGAGCUGGCAUCAGGGAUGGUGUGGAAGCCAGCUGUUGGGUCCUUGUUCGUCUGGACCAGUGCUCUGUCAGCUAAGUGAGCUCAUCUCCACCAACUGUUGUUGAAAAAGGGCUUUCACAGUCUGUAGGGGGAUGGAUCCCAUCUGCCUCCGAGCAGCGACACGCCUGGUCUUUGCUGAGAUGUUGGAUCUGUUCUGGUGCCAGAUGUUUUGUUAGCUGGGCUGGCCAGCCAGAAAAAUUCUCGUGGUUUCAUAGGGAGUGUGAUAGCUCUUCCGUCAGCUGGGUCUGCUUGUCUACCAGGCAGAAUUUAAUCAGCGUCAAAGGUAUUAAAGAAGAGCACAGGAAAUACGGCAGUUUUGGCUUUAUAGGUAAAAUCUGAUAUGCUUUAGGUGAAUUUAGCUGCUUUAAUAAGGUUAAGUUGAGGUAACAUCAAAUUUCAGAUUGGAUCCUAGGGUUCUCUUCAUAUGCCAACUUUAUAUUGUGUGCCAACAGCCAACUACACAUAAAAAGGUCAAGUUCUGUGAACCUGGAAAGAAAUUAACUCCUUCCAUUACACUGCCUCACUUCUUCCCUCAUUCAUCCUGGCAGAAGUGUUAGUGUCAAGACUUUCCUGACAUUUUUCUUGUGUUCAGCCACAGAUGUCCUUAACAUACUAAAGCUCUUUUGAAAUAGUCAUUGUGAAUAUGUAUAGUCCCACCCUCGCUAUAUACAUUACUAAGAGUAUUCAUUUGCAGUGUGCUCUCAGUGCUGCAUUCAUAUUUUCAAGGAAUAAAAUAUUUUUGAAUGGCUGGUGUCUUAUUUAUUUAUUUAUUGAAGUCUUCUGCAUGUACCUCACCUAGGCAAGGUGUUUAGAUAUGAUGGACUUACACGAGUCCUGAAUAUGGUGGAUUUGUAUGGAAGUAAUGAGGUAAGGUUUUCUCAGUUCUACUGAAGUCUUAUCAUGUCACCAUUUUCUGUAGGUACUGGACAGGGUUCUGGUGAUAAGAUAUUGACAUAGAAACCAUAAUUUGUAAAAUAAUGGUAAUCUCAAAGAGGGCUGGUUAUGGCAGGAAUUUUGGGUGACUGGCAGAGUGCUCCCAUGCAGCAGUGAGCCAAAAUGGAAGAAGCCAUUCAGAGAGAGCAGAACAAAGACCUGCUAACUUCUUGGGGCUGCAAAGAAGCUGUAAUGUGCAAAGGAGAGCUGUUUCUAUGAGAUAUUUCUGCCUGUGUGCAGCUCUUUACAGGCAGUGAUGGGGUUUCUAUGACCCAUCAGUGAGCUGGCUUAGCUCUGCAUGCCAGUCUGGAAACAUCCUCUCUGUUACUGCCAAAUGAGGUGUUCUGGAUAAAGGAUAAGAAAUUGCAACCUCAAAGUUUGAGGUCACUUGAGAUAGUCGCGGGGACACAACAAGCAAGAGAGAGA